rnacentral:rRNA from 1 species
AACGAACGCUGGCGGCGUGCCUAAGACAUGUAAGUCGUACGGAAAGGCCCCCUUCGGGGGCGACUCGAGUGGCGCACGGGUGAGUAACGCGUGGGUAAUCUGCCUCAGGGUCUAGGACAACCUCGGGAAACUGGGGCUAAUACUGGAUAAGACCACGAGCUCUUCGGAGCUUGCGGAAAAAGAUGGCCUCUCCUUGGAAGCUAUCGCCCUUCGAUGAGCCCGCGUCCCAUUAGCUAGUUGGUGAGGUGACGGCUCACCAAGGCUUUGAUGGGUAGCUGGUCUGAGAGGAUGAUCAGCCACACUGGAACUGAGACACGGUCCAGACUCCUACGGGAGGCAGCAGUCGGGAAUUUUGGGCAAUGGGCGAAAGCCUGACCCAGCAACGCCGCGUGAGGGAUGAAGGCCCUCGGGUCGUAAACCUCUGUCGGGAGGGAAGAACGGUUGCCGUUCGAACAGGACGGGAGCCUGACGGUACCUCCAAAGGAAGCACCGGCUAACUCCGUGCCAGCAGCCGCGGU